GCUCGGCCCUCGACCCGCCGCCGUCCCCCUCAGUACCACGCCUUUGGCUGCCCGCAUGGUUGCGCCCACGCAGAUGUAUGUCUGGCAGCCGCUGCGUUGGCCGGCGAUUUGUCUUUCGAAGAAUACGCCUUUUUAAAUUUAUUUAGAGUCCCCCCUCACGGCUUCGUAGUCACUGCUGUGCCCGAGGCCCCGGCGUGCACCCAGGCCUGUGGCGGCUCUGAGUGUUUUGUGUGUGUGGUCCGUUGACCUUGAGUUUGGGUCGAACGAGUUGCCCCCGGAUUGUAAUCGGAGUCCGUGUGGCGCACGUCCCCGGCCGCCCGCCCUGCGUCCGUCCGUCCCCCUCCCACCUCCGACUGGGAAGGACGGGCAGCAGCUUUGUCCUUGUGUGACCUGACGGCUUCCUGAUGGCGCAUUCAUCGCGGCCGGCUCUGCGUCUCGGUGGAAUUCUCCUUGUUGUUUUCCAGAACUAGAGUCAGCGAAGAACAUUUUCCUUGACUUUCAGGUGCUUUUAUAUUCAUCUCGAAAAGAAAAAAUUCUGAACUCAGGAUUUGGCAAGUAUUUCUGUGUUGUCUUCUGGAGUGGGGAGUCCUGCUUCUUCUGUCUACCCACUUCCGUAUCUUGAAAUGCGGAUAUCCCUCCUCUACAUUUUACCUCCAUGUUUUGGAUUGCAAAAGAUUGCUUUUCUUUUUCUUCCCACCUCUCAAAUUUAACACAGAGAAGCUCCUAGGAUGCAGUCAUCAUGCCAACUUCUCCAAGAAGAAAGAAGCAACUGACAUGUUUCUUCUGCCAAUUGCUUACUUGUAAAGAAAUUAUUUUGCAAGCUGAAGGGUGAUGUUUAAUUUGAAACUGGUGCUUAGAUGGUGGUAUUUGUGAAUUUUUUACCUUUUAUUCCCAGCAAGAAGACUAUAUAAAUAGCUAGUGUGGGUGUGACAUCAGGGUUUGUUUCGUUUUUUUAAUGUCUUCCCAUUUUAGCCACUAUCAUAAACAGUCAAGACUGCAGCAGUAAAUUUCAGAUGUGUUGUAAUUUGAAAUGAAAGAGAUGCUAAUAUAUAUAUAUAAAUCCUGGCUCAACCUGUGACAUAGAUGAACUGGAUAAGAACAAAGGUCCAGCUUUGCAGUGAAACCUUUGAUGUGAUAAAGAAGCACAAAAACAGAAUAUCACAAAGUUAAUUUCAUAUAUAAAUAAGUCAUCACAGUCUCUGUAUAAAUAUAUAUUUUAACAUGUAAAUCCACUUUUUUUUUUUUUUAAUGAGAAGAGGGAUUUUUCUCCCAGAGAAGGAACCUAUUCUUUCUCAGAAGUCUUUGGACAUUUGGUAUUGUAAAAAUUUUUCUUUUUUUCUUCUAAGGAAGGACCAUAUUGUGCUAACCCAAUGAAUGCAUGCUUGGGUUUAGUGAAGGUUGGUAAAGGAAACAAAAGCUUUGAGUCCAGUGUUGGAACCCUUUUCACCUCCUUGGGAUGAGAGGCUGCUGUAUUACAAAUUACUUCAUUCUCUUUUGUGGAGUUUUAUAUAGCACUUGGGACUUUUUCCCUAUUGCUAAGGCUGGAAGAAAGGUGACAUAAGUAGAUUUUCUGUUCAGAAGAUGUGAUGGACCCUCCAGUAUGACCUGCCUUCAACUUUGGACAUGGAGGAAUGGGGAGGGGUUGGGGGAGGGUGAGAAAAUGUUCAUAUAACUCCCUUCUCCUAAGAAAAUGAAGCAAAAAAAGCCUUAUACAUCCACCUGGCUUUAUGACGUUUUACAUUCAUAGCUCUAUUUUGUUGUAAAAGUAUAAAUAACUUUCCUUUGACCCAAGAUCAAUACUUGGAUGUUUGAUUGCUUUUUCUAGAUGAUAGCUGUAAUGUUAGGCAGAAAAGGCUGGGACUCAGGUAACUUCCCAUUUUCAUCAGAGAAUGGGCCUCAGAAGCAAUGUUCCCAAACAUGUGUUUGGAUCAGUAUAAAUUUAGAAGAAAUUCAGGUCUAAAGAAAACCUCAAAAAAAAUA